AAGGCAUAUAUUCAGAGUAUGCUGACAAACUUCUGUGGCUCUAGGAGGAUGGAGUCUGUUCUUUACAGCACUUUUAUCAGUUCCAAACACACACAGGAAUUCCGGUUUGGGGAAUGACCGUCCUGAUUCCUCACUUCCACAGGAAGGCUAAUAAAAAGAACCUCUAAAACGACAAAGGCAUUUUAUUUUUAACAAGUCCAGCCAGAGCUGCAGACUACAAUGACUUAACUACAUUAAAGUCCAGUUUUACAAGCUGAACCAACAUGUCUGGAGACAGAUUCGUAAUUUCAGCCAUGGAGGGAUUUAAUUUCUUAGACUGAUGUUUAUCAUAAUGAGGGGUCUCCGAUGGCCACUUAUAAAGUGAACAAUAUCCAUGAUUUGGGAACCAGAACCCUUGAGUGAAGACCAAGAUGGGACUUCUAAAGUCUGCAUAGGGUUGAAAUGAAGUAAAUUGGACAUGAUCAAAGGAGUGGAAACUUUGGGUGACAACUCAAAAUAUUUCUUAAGGGUCAAUCAGCUUGUGAAAACUGAGAAGUCCAAGGACAUCUGACCACCACCACCCUUUUGUUACCUUUGAAAUGCACUGUUGCUCAAAUAUAAUAAAUAAUAAUAAUAAUAAUAAUAAUAAUAAUAUACAGGCAUUUGUACUGUAUUCCAAAUCUCCAUCAAGCUGAGUUGAGCAGUCUUUAAACAAUGUACAUUAUUAUGAUUAAUGUCAAGUGAAAUAUUUACAUUAUUUAUAUUAGGCUUAAUUUAUGAUAUGUACAUUUUGGUAAAGAUUACUCAGUUCAGUUGGAUGGAAAUUUGUCAUACAACUGAAAUUUUGUUGAAUGUUGAGUGCAAUCCUUUGCCUUUGUAAUAAAUAAUAGAUAAUAAAGAUUCAUCAUCAAUGUGUAAUAAAUAAAUAUACCAA